GGUCCCGUAGCUCAGUUGGAUAGAGCACCUGCCUUCUAAGCUGGCGGUCGUUGGUUCGAAUCCAACCGGGAUCA
rnacentral:tRNA from 1 species